rnacentral:rRNA from 1 species
UACGGAGGGGGCGAGCGUUGUCCGAAGUUACUGGGCGUAAAGCGCGCGUAGGCGGGUCGAAAAGUCCGCUGUGAAAGCCCGAGGCUUAACCUCGGCGGGUCGGUGGAUACUGUCGGUCUUGAAGGUGCUAGGGGGAGAUGGAAUUACCGGUGUAGCGGUGAAAUGCGUAGAUAUCGGUAGGAACACCAGUGGCGAAGGCGGUCUCCUGGGGCAUUCUUGACGCUGAGGCGCGAAAGCAUGGGGAGCGAACAGG